GAUGAACGCUGGCGGCGUGCCUAAUACAUGCAAGUCGAGCGAACGGACGAGAAGCUUGCUUCUCUGAUGUUAGCGGCGGACGGGUGAGUAACACGUGGAUAACCUACCUAUAAGACUGGGAUAACUUCGGGAAACCGGAGCUAAUACCGGAUAAUAUUUUGAACCGCAUGGUUCAAAAGUGAAAGACGGUCUUGCUGUCACUUAUAGAUGGAUCCGCGCUGCAUUAGCUAGUUGGUAAGGUAACGGCUUACCAAGGCAACGAUGCAUAGCCGACCUGAGAGGGUGAUCGGCCACACUUGAACUGAGACACGGUCCAGACUCCUACGGGAGGCAGCAGUAGGGAAUCUUCCGCAAUGGGCGAAAGCCUGACGGAGCAACGCCGCGUGAGUGAUGAAGGUCUUCGGAUCGUAAAACUCUGUUAUUAGGGAAGAACAUAUGUGUAAGUAACUGUUCACAUCUUGACGGUACCUAAUCAGAAAGCCACGGCUAACUACGUG
rnacentral:rRNA from 1 species